GCGGUGGUGGUGGCGGCCGCUGGCCAGUGUAAGAUGGCGGCGGCGUUGGUGGUGGCAGUGGACGGGGCGGCUGGGCCUGGAACAGUCGGAGCAGCCGCUAGCAGAAGGAUGACCCAAGACGGGAAGCGGGCUGCUGAGCCUCGCCGAUUCCCGUGCUUGUAACUGCCCCAGCCGGACACCCCCCCUCCCUUGACCUACCCGGUCUGUGUCUCGUUCCGGCUCGGCCUGCGCCCCCCCUCGCUUCCCAGCCGGUUUCCCCUAAGGAUGGGCCUGACCCGUAUCCCAAGCUCUUAGCGCUCAGGUCUUUUCCUUCCGCCGACCCGAAGUCAUCGCUGGGAGUACUGGUUGCCCUUUCCUCAGGCUGGCUACAGCAAACAUCAUUCAAGAUGUCCAGCAAAGGGAGCAGCACAGAUGGCAGAACAGACUUAGCUAAUGGAAGCCUGUCUAGCAGUCCAGAGGAGAUGUCUGGAGCUGAAGAGGGGAGGGAGACAUCCUCAGGCAUUGAAGUGGAGGCCUCAGACCUGAGUUUGAGCUUGACUGGGGAUGAUGGUGGCCCCAACCGCACCAGCACAGAAAGUCGAGGCACAGACACAGAGAGCUCAGGUGAAGAUAAGGACUCUGACAGCAUGGAGGACACUGGUCAUUACUCCAUUAAUGAUGAAAAUCGAGUCCAUGACCGCUCAGAGGAAGAGG
rnacentral:lncRNA from 1 species